UUGUUGUUCUCUUUCUCUAUAACUCCCGAUCUUUGAAAGGGUCAAAGUUUUCGAAGUUCUAAUAGUCUUUGUAUUACUACCUUCUCUGUCUCAUCUGUAGCCUCAGAAUUGAUAUCUGUACUCUUUAGCCUUAGACUUGAUUCGUUUCUACUCUCUAUAUAAACAACCGUACUCUCUCUACACACACAGCAGAAAAACUUACGUAUAGAAGCUGCAAUUAUUUUGUUGUGGAUAUCAUCAUCACGACAGUAAUUUCCUCCAUUGUUUCUUCAACAUUUCAUUGUAAACUUUCUUAGAGUUUUGCUUCCAUGGUGGUCAAGGGUGAGUAUGAACGUUCACUGGAGCACACUCCAACAUGGGCUGUUGCGGUGGUCUGCUUUGUGUUGGUUGUUAUUUCUCUCUUCAUUGAACAUAUCAUUCAUAUCAUUGGAAAGUGGCUAAAAAACAAACACAAGUUAACUCUCUACGAAGCACUUGAAAAAAUCAAAACAGAGCUUAUGAUAUUGGGAUUCAUAUCCUUGUUCUUAAUAGUGUUUCAAGCGCAAAUUACUAAUAUAUGUAUACCCAAGAGUGUUGGAGCCACUUGGCACCCCUGUAAAGAUGAGUACAAGGAAGAGACAGAUUCCCAGGAUAAAGGACGGAAACUACUACAACUUUUGGAUUCUGGUUUCGGUUCACGAAGAAUAUUAGCUGCAAAAGAAAUUGACAAAUGCACAGAAGAGGAUAAAGUCGCAUUGGUGUCUAAUUAUGGGAUUCACCAGCUCCAUAUAUUCAUUUUUGUGUUAGCUGUUGUUCAUGUGCUCUAUUGCAUCACCACCUUGGCUUUGGACAGAACUAAGAUGAGAAAAUGGAAGGUUUGGGAGGAAGAAACAAAGAAACCUGAAUAUCAAUACUAUCAUGACCCACAAAGGUUUAGGUUUACAAGGGACACAUCAUUUGGGUGAAGACAUUUGAACUUCUGGAGCAAGUCAACAAUUUCCCUUUGGAUAGUGUGUUUCUUCCGACAAUUCUUUAUGUCAGUUAACAAGGUUGAUUACCUUACAUUGAGACAUGGAUUUAUCACUGCACAUUUGGCACCAGAAAGUGAAACAAAAUUUGAUUUCCGAAAGUACAUUAGCAGAUCACUUGAAAAGGAUUUUAAAGUUGUGGUGGGGAUCAGUCCAAUCAUAUGGUUCUUUGCGUUGUUAUUCUUCCUGUCCAACACAUAUGGAUGGCAUUCUUAUUUAUGGCUACCAUUUCUCCCAUUGAUUAUAAUACUCCUGGUGGGGACAAAGCUACUAGUGAUAAUUACACAAAUGGGGCUAAGAAUUCAAGAGACAGGACAUGUGGUUAGAGGUGAACCUGUGGUGCAGCCAGGUGAUGACCUCUUCUGGUUUGGACGCCCCAAGUUCAUUCUCUUUCUCAUUCACUUGGUUCUUUUUCAGAAUGCAUUUCAAUUGGCCUUCUUUGCUUGGAGUACGGUUCAGUUUGGCUUGAGUAAUUGCUUCCAUAGUCGCACUGAAGAUAUCGUCAUCAGAAUCUCAAUGGGGGUCAUCAUACAAGUUGUAUGUAGUUAUGUGACUUUGCCUCUCUACGCUUUGGUGACUCAGAUGGGAUCUAGUAUGAGUUCUACCAUUUUUAAUGAUCAGCUGGCAGCAGGAUUAAAAGAUUGGCACCGCACAGCCAAAAAGAACGCUAAACAUAGCAAUCAUACUGAGACUAAAUCACCCAUUUCAAGUACUCCCUCAACUCCCACACGUGGCACGUCCCCGGUUCACCUCUUGCACAACUAUCACCAUAGCAGCCAUGAUAGCUUGCAUCCAUCUCCAAGAAGGUCCCAUGUCAGAAAUGAUCAUCGGGACAAUAAUGAGAGGCACUCGAGUAGGCAUUUGGAGCAAGAAAAGCCGGAAACUCAAGAGCCAAGCUCAUUGCAGUUGCCAUCAGCUCCACCAGAUCAUGCACAACAUGAAAUCAACAUUAGUUCGUCUUUUGCCUUUAGGAAAUGAGUAAGCCAAUGUAGAUUGGAUCAUAGGAGAAUAUCGCUUACUUAUAUAUAACAUGGUGUGCAUGGUUAGAGCGAGCUCCUACAGACUAAACCAAGGUUUUGUAUCUAUAAAUAGCAUCACUUUUGUAAAGUACAACAAUUCUGCAUAAUAGCAUUUAGUUUAAAUACGUCUUGAGAGCUUUGUUCCAAGAAAGUAUUCUUGAAGAA